rnacentral:rRNA from 1 species
CGCAUCUGUGCAUGCAGCAUAUCAAUAAGCGGAGGAAAAGAAACUAACAAGGAUUCCCCUAGUAACGGCGAGUGAAGCGGGAAGAGCUCAAAUUUGAAAUCUUAAAGGGUUUCCCUUUACGAAUUGUAGUUUAAAGGAGUGUUUUCUGUUGAGGUUUUGGUAAAAGUUCUUUGGAAUAGGACAUCAUAGAGGGUGAGAAUCCCGCUAUUUGACCUUUACUUUCAACUUUGUGAUACACUUUCAAAGAGUCGGAUUGUUUGGGAAUGCAGUCCAAAAUGGGUGGUAAAUUUCAUCUAAAGCUAAAUAUUGGCGAGAGACCGAUAGCGAACAAGUACCGUGAGGGAAAGAUGAAAAGAACUUUGAAAAGAGAGUUAAACAGUACGUGAAAUUGUCAAAAGGGAAGCGUUUGACACCAGUGUUGUUUUUCUGAAAAUCAAUUAAAGAACUGUUUAUGCUAAGUUGUUUAGACUUUAUCAGCUAUCUGUUUAGUUUUGAGCUUUUCUUUAAUGCACUUUCAGUUAACAAGUCAACAUCAAUUUCUUUUGCUGUAAAAAAGCUUGAGGAAGGUGGCUUGAGAUUCGUCUUAAGUGUUUAUAGCCUCUUGCCUAUGCAGUCGGAGAGAUUGAGGUCUGCAGCGUAGAUCCUUCGGGGCUAAAUGCAUUUGUGCUAAGUUAUAGCAUUUUAUAGACAACUUGUUGACUAUGAUUUGUCUUGUAGCUUACUCGCUUAUGUUAUUUUACCUACGCUUAGGAUGUUGAACGCGCACAGAGUCUC